AACCCCGCCUUUUUCUAGCCGGCCACUUCCGGUUUUUCAAGCGCGAAGCAAGAGAUCGAGCAAGCACAGGCGAGGAGAUCGACAAAGAAAGGGAUGCGGAUGAAGAUGCGAAAUGACACCUUGAAACGAAAAAUGCUAAUUCAAACAUUUUCAGGAUUGUAGAGGGAAAGAUUUCGGAAGCUGUCGGGAACGCCUCUCUCUUUCCGACAAGAUUUAUGAGGAUUUCAGAUAACGAUGAACCUCGCUGUUUAAAACAAAGAAGAAACCCUCCUUUGGGAGAAAGGAACCAGUGCACAGUGUUCAUGGUGCGGGGAAAUGAUAUUAUGAAUCUUGCGAUUUGUUUAGGCUAUAGUCAGAAAUGAUAUUGAUGCCGGCGCACCUGCAAAGGAUUAAGAAACAGAGAAAACAAGCAAGCAACUAGACAGAUAAACUGUAUAGUUUUUCUGUAUUGAUAAUAAUAAGACUUAUGCCGUAUUCCUUACCGGAAUUCUAGUAUAUACUUCCUACUUUUCUCCCAUACGAUUAAAAGUAUAAAACAGUAAAGUGUCUUCUGUACUAUGCAACUAAUUAAAGCACUAAGGGUAGUGGAGCUCACAACAACACUAAGCAAUGUAACUGAAAUAUGCUAAGAAGAUAAAAUACUCCCUUGAACACCAUAAGAGGAGAUGCUCCGCAUCAUUCGCCCCAUCAAGAAGGAAAUCUGUGCUAACAGAUUGAAUUUGCGUCAUAUUGUAGUCGGGAGGGUUAUAAGCAUAAAUGUCUUUAACGUUGAAAGUAUGUGAUGUAUUAAACUCCGCCGGAAGAUCCACAACAUAUGUGUUAUCAUUAAUCUUUUUGCUAAUAGGAAAAGGCCCCCAUUUUCUUUUGCCCAAUUUGGUGUAUUCACCCACUGGUAGUCGCUCCCUCCUCAAUCGGACGAAAACCAAAUCUCCAGGAUUAAACAACUUUUCUCGUCGAUGGCCAUCCACAGCCAACUUAUACUUCUCAUUGGCCCCUUGUAGCUUUAACCGAAUAUUAGAUAAGAAUUCUGUAUAAUGGUCGGCUAAUGCAGAGGCCGCCUUACUUUUGCACUUUGGAAGCACUGCAACAUCAAGAACUGUAUUUGGUACUUUAGUAUAAACAAUACUAAAUGGGCACAUACCAGUGGAAUGAUUCACAUGUAAUUUAAAGCAAAUUCCGCUUGACCGAGCAACUCAUCCCAGAUUUUUGGGUUGUCUUGAACUAAGCAUCGCAAGAGAUUACCCAGUGUGCGGUUAACCACUUUUGUUUGGCCAUCGGUCAGCGGGUGAUAUGAGGAACUUAGUUGGAUUUGAGUGUGCAAUCUCUUCCACAGUUCUCUCCAAAAAUGGCUAAUGAAGUUAACAUCUCUAUCCAAUGUGAGGCUUCGAGGAAUGCCGUGUAAGCGCACAAUUUCUUUGAAGAAAAUCUUGGCAAUAUUUAGAGCAUCGAAUGUUUUCUUACAGGCAAUGAAGUGCGCCAUUUUUGAAAAGCGAUCCACCACGACCAUUAUCGAGUCAUUGCCAUGCUUUGUCCGUGGCAAGCCAAGUACAAAAUCUAGGCUCAAAUCCUCCCAGAUGCAUUCCGGCACGGGUAAGGGUUGAUACAAUCCGGUGCUUUGUCCUGCUCCUUUGUAACUUUGACAAAUGGAACACCUUUCGACAAACUUAGAGCCAUCUCUUCUUAGAUGCGGCCAAAAAAAUAGCUACUGUAGUUGACUUACUUUGUUACCUCGACCUAAGUGAGUGGAGAAACCACCCGCAUGAGUCUGUUUAAUAAUCUGCUGUCUCCAAGAUGAGCUAGGAAUGCACAAUAAAUUUCCCUUAAAUAAAAACCCAUGGCGGAUAGAAUAGUCGGCUGAUGGUUCCUGCUGACAACAUUUGAGCCAAUGUUCCUGGAAGUAAUCAUCAUCUGAAUAUAACUCCUUUAAGCAUUCAAGGCUUGCAAAUUCAUUUUGUAACCUGGUUAUAAAAGCAGCCCUUCUACUAAGCGCAUCGGCUACCCGAUUUUGCACUCCGCUCUUAUGUUUCAGCACAAAGGUAAAUUUUUGUAAGAAUAUAAUCCAGCGCGCAUGCAUCCGAUUAAUGAUAUUUUGAGAAUUGAUAUAUUGUAGAGCUUUGUGGUCGCUACAGAGGACAAAAUCUUGGUGUAAUAAGUAAUGCUCCCACUGUUUCAGCGCUCUAACAACGACAUACAGUUCCUGCUCGUAAACAGUUCACCUUUGCCGAGAUGGACAUAACUUUUCACUAAAAAAUUCCACCGGUUUUUUGUCUGGAGAUAAAAUUGCCCUGAUGUCAAUGGUUGAUGUGUCAGUGUCAACCAUGAAUGGUUUGUUAAAGUCAGGUAAUAUCAAAACUGGAGUCGAAGUUAAAGCAACUUUGAUUGCAUCAAAGCUCUGUUGCUGUUCAUUUGCCCAGGCAAGUUGCGGUUGCUUCAACACAUUGGUGAUUGGAGCCAUUAUACUGCUGAAUCAUCUAAUGAAUCUCCGAUAAAAAUUAGCGAACCCGUGGAAGCUGCGAAUAUUAGAUAAUGAACGAGGGAUAGGCCAAUUUUCUAUUGCCGCCACUUUUUUUGGAUCCAUACUAGUACCAGCUACUGAGAUAAGAAACCCGAGGAAAGACACCUGUUAUGUAGCAAAUUCACAUUUGUGGCGAUUCAAAAACAAUUUGUUAUUUCUUAAGGUGUCAAACAGAGCUGUUAGGUGCUUGAGGUGGUCGUCACUUGUGGUGCUGUACACUAAUAUAUAAUCAAAAUAUACAACACAACAUUUAUUGAGAAACAAUUUAAGCACCUCAUUCAUCAAGCGCAUGAUCGUAGCUGGUGCAUUGCACAAAUCAAAAGGCAUUACCUUCAAUUCAUAUAAGCCUUGACGGGUUUUGAAAGCCGUCUUUAAUUCAUCCCCGGGACGAAUUCUUUUUUGGUGGUAGCCACUGCGUAAGUCUAGCUUUGAAAAUAUAGUGGCUCCGGAUAAUCUAUCCAGCAUAUCCUCUAUUCUCGGUAUUGGAAAACGAAAUUUAACAGUAAUGCGGUUGAUAGACCGGCUGUCCAUGCACAUUCUCCAGCUGCCAUCUUUCUUGGGCACCAACAAAGCCGACACAGCGCAGGGGCUCACACUAGGUUGAAUCAGCUAUUUGUCUAAAAGCUCGUCGACAAUCUGUUGCAAGGCUUGAUGCUCAUUUGGACUCAUCUUGUAAUGAGGCAAAUUAGGAAGAGAGGCCCUCGGCAUUAGCUCAAUUUGAUGUUGAAUAGCUCUCAUUGGUGGAAGUUCAUUCGGGAGUUUGGACGUACAAAGGUCCGUGUAUUGCUGUAACAGCGAGCUGAUCUCUUUUGGCAUCGUCUGUUCUUCACUAAUAUGGCUAUGUUCUUGGACAAUUAAAGCCAGUAUGCAAUUGGACUCUCGCCAAGCAUUGAGCAGGGCUUUUUCGGUAAUGGCAUAAAGUGCAGUUUUUGAUGUUAUUUUAACCAAUUCCUUGUCAGGUGUGCGGGGCAAUAAUCACAAUCUUUUCCCUUUCCAGUCGAAGGAGUAUGUGUUGGCCUUGCAAUCAUACAUAGCCCCCACAUCAAACUGCCACGACCGCCCCAAAAUCAGGUGGCAAACAUCCAUCUCUACUACAUCGCAGAGUACUUCACUAGCAUAGUCUCGACCAAUUGAAAAGGUCACUUUGCACAUAUCCAACACGGCAAUUUCCAUCCCCUUUUAACCCAACUAAUUUUGUACGGAUUGGGGUUCUUCGAAGUCUUCAAUUGCAAAGCCUGCACCACCGUGCGGGAUAUAACAUUUUAUGUACAACCACUAUCAAUUAACAAUUCACAAUUUUUCCUUGUAUAGUGCAUUUUGUUCUAAACAAUGCAUUCCUUUGGGAGCUGGCGGGCUGCCGAGGAGCCAAGAGUAAUUUUUGUAUCACACAUAGUACUGGUUCUCUCUCAUCUCCCACCACGUCUUCAGGAUCUCCCUCAAGGUCACCAUUAUUGUUGUUAGCUUCUUCUUCUUCGUCGGCUUCAAGCAUUUGAAAUUGCGGCCGAGUUGGGCAUUUAUUGGACUUAUGUCCCUGUUGGAAACAUCUAAAACAUUUGAUGUUAGCAUUUUAGCAUAAGAAUUCUUCCAUAUCGGUGCCUUGUUUUUUUGGUAUGGUUUGCUCUCCAGUACUCUAGGAUUUGUAUUGGCUUGUGGUAAUGUUGCAUUAGGCGCGAAGAAGUUUUGAUAGCAUUGGCCGCGAAAUGAAACACUGGUUUAUUGUUUUCGAUGGAGUAAUCAAAGUUCCGUCGGUGAGUCCUACUGGACUGGUGUCUACUUAGCUGCAUUUAGUCCUUGAGAGCAUAGUUAAUCACCCGCGACAAUGACCAAAUGGCAUUUAGCUCUAACUUGUCUUGAAUGGCCUCCCGCAAUCCACCAAUGUAUAUAGCAACUAUUUGGUUGGCGGAUUCAUUUAAGUUAUUCCGAGCACUAAGUUGAUAAAAUUCCUCCGUGUAAUCGUUCACCAUCCUCGAUCCUUGGGCACAAUGCUGAUAUUGAACAUACAACAUUUGAUCAAAAUUACUCAGCAAGAAGUGAGUUCGCAGCAACUGCUUCAUUCAGAACCAACUUCGGACGAUUCCCUUGCCUUCACGCCUCCGGGAUUGAAUCACCUGCUGUCACCACGUGCUAGCACCACCUUUGAGUCUACACGCCACAUACUUCACUUGCUUUUCAGGUUCAAUCUCCAUGUAUUCAAAAAAUGUCUCUACAACCCUUUCCCAAUCCAAAUAAUCGUUAAUGUGUAGCUUGCCAUUGAAGAACGGUAUGUCCAAUUUAACGCGAAAAUCGCUGUGGUGUCUGUCCCUCUCGAUUGGGCGUCGUCUACAGAUUAGCUCUGGUUCGUUUUCAGACUCCGAUAGCUCGAGAUGAUUGAAUCCACCCAUUUCAUUUUCUGAAUCGGAUAAACCCUGAGUUAAAUUGUCUCACAGUUGCUCCCGAUCUGCUGCGAACCCUCGCCUAGCUGCCGGUAUGGUUGCCGGCAAUGCCACCCGAGCAUUUAGGUUCCUAUCUAGACGAGCAUUGAUUUGCCUUAGCUCUCAACGCAUCUCACCAAAGAAUCGGUGAACAUCUGCCGAUAGAGCUUCCUUUUUUUUCACCAAACUAUUGUGCCCUUCCCAAAGAGCUUCCAGGCUAU